GAUUUGUCAAAUCCAUUGUUGUUAUAAUAAAAUAAAAUUGAUUAACAGAGAAAUAACAUAUUGGACAUAUUUCAAUAAUGGAUUGGACUACCAUUAGUACUUGGUGGAGCAGAACUGCAACUUUACAAAUCCUUGGCAUACUACUUCUUGGUCAACUAGUUUCUUUCUUACUUGCUCUCAUGAGCAUUACUUCUUCUCUCAUAGCCCAAUUUGGUGUUGAUGCACCUUUAACUCAGAGCCUGUUUACAUAUGGAUCUUUAGCUUUGGUUUAUGGAAGCAUAUUGCUUUAUAGGCAUCAAAAACCUCUGGUUUCUUGGUAUUGGUAUUUGUUACUAGGCUUUGCUGAUGCUCAGGGUUGUUAUUUGGUUAUCAAAGCAUAUCAGUAUACUUCAGUUACUAGUGUAACAUUACUGGACUGUUGGACAGUACCUUGGGCAAUUCUACUCACAUGGAUCUUCCUUGGUACAAGAUAUUCCCUAUGGCAGUUAUGUGGAGGAACACUCUGUGUACUUGGCCUCUCUUUAGUCCUAUUUUCUGACACUUGGGAUGGUGGUGGUGGUGGUGGUGGAGGUGGAUCAAAACCUAUCUUGGGUGAUGUACUUGUUAUUGUAGGGACAGUUUUCUUUGCAGUAAGCAAUGUUGUUGAGGAAUUUUGUGUUAAGAAAAAAGAUCGUGUUGAAGCAGUUACCAUGCUUGGUGUUUAUGGAUUCCUAGUUACUGCUAUUGAAGUAUCUGUUCUAGAAUUGAAGACUCUGAAAUCAAUCAAAUGGUCUGGAGAUAUUGUAAGUGGUCAAUUCUCAUGUCAUUUUAGAUAUCUAAAUUCCUUAACAGGUGCUUGCUUUUGCUGGCUAUGGUGUGUCAAGCUUCAUAUAUUGCUCACUUGCUCCUUUUGUUCUGAAGUUCGGCGGAUCAGCAAUGUUUAAUCUUUCUCUUCUAACAUCUGAUAUGUGGGCAGUGCUUUUUAGAGUUUUCAUUUAUCACCAGAAGGUGGAUUGGUUGUACUUCGUUUCCUUUUUAGUUGUGGGCAUUGGUCUCAUCAUUUAUUCUACAACAGAGAAGAAAUUAGUUCCUGCAUCAGCUACUACUGAGGAUGAGAAUCUGAACACAGAAUACCAAAUACUUAAUGGUGAAAGUGAAAGCACAACAUUGGAUCAAAGUGAUUCUUUAGCUUCAUGAGGGAAACAUCAUUUGAAAUAAUGAAAUUGGAUGGAGAGGCUUCGUUGGGCUAGCUUCUUUUAUUUAUUUAUUUUAGAAAAUUUUCAUUAACAAAAACGGUAUAAGAGGAAUGGAUCUCUUCAAUACCUGGGGGAGAAUAUGCUAUCUUUCUUGCUUCAAUGCAUCUUCUCAUUUUUCAGAAGACAACUCAAUAGAGUCAAAGGAAGAAAUUAGCAAUAGCAAAACCAUAUAUUUUGACAUCUUGAUAAUUUUUGGUUAUACCAAACAUAUGUCAUUUAUGUGCUUUAUUAUGUAUGUCAUGCAUUAUUUUUCUAUCUGACAUGUGUGGUUGUACUUGCUAUACUGAAUUUCAUUUGAUUAAGCUCUAAUACAUGGUUAAUGUUUGAUCGUUUCA